rnacentral:rRNA from 1 species
CCUACGGGAGGCAGCAGUGGGGAAUCUUGCACAAUGGAGGAAACUCUGAUGCAGCGAUGCCGCGUGAGUGAAGAAGGCCUUUGGGUUGUAAAGCUCUUUUGUAGGGGAAGAUAAUGACUGUACCCUAAGAAUAAGGUCCGGCUAACUUCGUGCCAGCAGCCGCGGUAAUACGAAGGGACCUAGCGUAGUUCGGAAUUACUGGGCGUAAAGCGCGCGUAGGCCGUUGAGUUAGUUAAUUGUGAAAUCCCAAAGCUUAACUUUGGAACUGCAAUUAAAACUGCUCGACUAGAGUUUGAUAGAGGAAAGCGGAAUACAUAGUGUAGAGGUGAAAUUCGUAGAUAUUAUGUAGAACACCAGUUGCGAAGGCGGCUUUCUGGAUCAACACUGACGCUGAGGCGCGAAAGUAUGGGUAGCAAAGAGGAUUAGAUACCCUCGUAGUCCAUACCAUAAACGAUGAUUGCUAGAUGUUGGAAAUUUAUUUUACAGUAUCGCAGCUAACGCAUUAAGCAAUCCGCCUGGGGAGUACGACCGCAAGGUUAAAACUCAAAGGAAUUGACGGCUGAGAGNGCGAGACGACACGAGGAGAG